rfam:Triticum aestivum genome assembly, contig: Triticum_aestivum_CS42_TGACv1_scaffold_211027_3AS
UUAAUACUCCCUCCGUCCCAAAAUAAGUGACUCAACUUUGUACUAGCUUUGUACUAAAAUUAGUACAAAGUUGAGUCACUUAUUUUGGGACGGAGGGAGUAUUAA